UAUUGGACAAUGGGGGCAACCCUGAUCCAGCCAUUCCGCGUGAGUUAUGAAGGUCUUAGGAUUGUAAAGCUCUUUCACCGAUGAAGAUAAUGACGGUAGUCGGAGAAGAAGCCCCGGCAAACUUCGUGCCAGCAGCCGCGGUAAUACGAAGGGGGCUAGCGUUGUUCGGAAUUACUGGGCGUAAAGCGCACGUAGGCGGAUAAUUAAGUCAGGGGUGAAAUCACGCAGCUCAACUGCGGAACUGCCUUUGAUACUGGUUAUCUUGAAUAUGGAAGAGGUAAGUGGAAUUGAGAGUGUAGAGGUGAAAUUCGUAGAUAUUCGCAGGAACACCAGUGGCGAAGGCGGCUUACUGGUCCAUUACUGACGCUGAGGUGCGAAAGCGUGGGGAGCAAACAGG
rnacentral:rRNA from 1 species